UACGGGAGGCAGCAGUGGGGAAUAUUGGACAAUGGGCGAAAGCCUGAUCCAGCCAUGCCGCGUGUGUGAAGAAGGUCUUCGGAUUGUAAAGCACUUUAAGUUGGGAGGAAGGGCAUUUACCUAAUACGUAAGUGUUUUGACGUUACCGACAGAAUAAGCACCGGCUAACUCUGUGCCAGCAGCCGCGGUAAUACAGAGGGUGCAAGCGUUAAUCGGAAUUACUGGGCGUAAAGCGCGCGUAGGUGGUUUGUUAAGUUGGAUGUGAAAUCCCCGGGCUCAACCUGGGAACUGCAUUCAAAACUGACAAGCUAGAGUAUGGUAGAGGGUGGUGGAAUU
rnacentral:rRNA from 1 species